rnacentral:misc_RNA from 1 species
GAUGAAGAACGCAGCGAAAUGCGAUAAGUAAUGUGAAUUGCAGAAUUCAGUGAAUCAUCGAAUCUUUGAACUCACAUUGCGCCCGGUAGUAUUCUGCCGGGCAUGCCUGUUCGAGCGUCAUUUCAACCAUCAAGCCCCAGCGCUUGUGUUGGGGGCCUGCGGCUGCCGCAGCCCCCUAAAAGCAGUGGCGGGCUCGCUAUCACACCGAGUGCAGUAGUUCAUCUUCUCUCCGGUCUUGUGAGGCGGGUUCCGGCCGUGAAACACCCCACUACAUUCAAGGUUGACCUCGGAUCAGGUAGGAAUACCCGCUGAACUUAAGCAUAUCAAUAAGCGGAGGA